GGGUCAGUAGGUUGGUCGUGCCACCGGUACGUACUGGUCUCACUGACUCCUCCUUCCUGAAGAACCGUAAUGCCAUUAAUUUGGUGUUGCGGGGGAACAGGACUGUUACUUUGAAAAAAUUAGAGUGUUUAAAGCAAGCUAACGCUUGAAUACAUUAGCAUGGAAUAAUGAAAUAGGACGAUCGAUCCUAUUUUGUUGGUUUCUAGGAUUGACGUA
rnacentral:rRNA from 1 species